rnacentral:tRNA from 1 species
GCGCAUGUGGCGGAAUUGGUAGACGCGCUGGUUUUAGGUACCAGUGCCGCAAGGCGUGGGGGUUCGAUUCCCUCCAUGCGCACCA